rfam:Oryza nivara chromosome 8, whole genome shotgun sequence.
AAUAAACUACGUGUCCAACGUUUGACCGUCCGUCUUAUUUGAAAAAAAUAUAAAAAAUUAAAAAGACAAGUCACACAUAAAAUAUUAAUCAUGUUUUAUCAUCUAACAACAAUAAAAAUACGAAUUAUAAAAAAAUUUCAUAUAAGACGGAUAGUCAAAGUUGGACACGGAAAUCCAGAGUUUGUCUUUUU